rnacentral:rRNA from 1 species
GAUGAACGCUGGCGGCGUGCCUAAUACAUGCAAGUCGAGCGAACAGACGAUGAUCUUGCGCCUCUGACGUUAGCGGCGGACGGGUGAGUAACACGUGUAUAACCUACCUGUAAGACUGGGAUAACUUCGGGAAACCGGAGCUAAUACCGGAUAAUAUAUUGCACCGCAUGGGUCAAUAGUGAAAGUCGGUGUUUCGGGCAGUAAUAGAUGGAUCUGCGCUGCAUGAGCUGGUUGGUACGGUAACGGCUUAUCAAGGCGAGGAUGCGUAGACGACCGGUGAGGCUGAUAGGCCACACGAGAACGUAGACACGGUCCAUGCUCCUACGGGAGGCAGCAGUCGGCAAUCUUACGCAGUGGGCGAGAGCAUGACGGAGCAACGCCGCGUGAGUGAUGACGGUCUUCGGAUCGUAAAACUCUGUUAUGAGGGAAGAACAAAUGUGUAAGUAACUAUGCACGUCUUGACGGUACCUAAUCAGAAAGCAACGGCUAACUACGUG